rnacentral:snRNA from 1 species
CUUUAUUGAACGCAAUUAUG